rnacentral:rRNA from 1 species
UGAGGAAUCUGUCCAUCGGCGGGGGAUAGCCGGCCCAACGGCCGGGUAAUACCGCGUACGACCACUUUGGGACAUCCCUCGGUGGUGAAAGCAGCAAUGCGCCGAUGGAGUGCCUCGCGGCCUAUCAGCUAGUUGGUGAGGUAACGGCUCACCAAGGCGACGACGGGUAGCUGGUCUGAGAGGAUGGCCAGCCACAUUGGGACUGAGACACGGCCCAGACUCCGUAGGGAGG